UUUCCGUAGGUGAACCUGCGGAAGGAUCAUUCAUAAUAAGUGUUUUAUGGCACUUUUUUAAAUCCAUAUCCACCUUGUGUGCAAUGUCAGGGUUGAUUUUUCUCUCGAGAGGAUCAACCCCAAACAUCAACUAUAUCUCAACUCUUUGUCUGAAAAAUAUUAUGAAUAAAACAAUUCAAAAUACAACUUUCAACAACGGAUCUCUUGGCUCUA
rnacentral:misc_RNA from 1 species